UCCAAAUGUUGGUGUGAGACCAAACAGUUGCGAAAUUAGCUCAAGUGAUAGAAGCGCCGCAACGGCAGACUACAGUACUUUUGCUACUUAAAACCCUAAAAAAAGCCCUACUUCUCACCUCACCACCCUCUUUAAAAGUCAGAUCACUUCUCAAUAUAUUCCUCACCUUUCAUCACCCAACUACUCCUUCUCAAUGUCAUCUCUCUCAAAUUCAAAUACAAAUACAUUGCCUUAUGUUCGAUACUUUCGUCAAUGACUUUAUUCAUUCGAGAAUACGAUUUCGAUUUCUCUCGCAUUCAAAAGUAUAAGUAUGAUUAAGGCCAUUGAUGAGGGUAUUGAAGAUAAUCUUCUGGCAAUUUAAACCUUUUUUUGUUCACCUGUUCGUAGUAGUAUCUGAAGUAUUCGGUUUGUUUUCAGUGCCUUAAUUAAUGGUCUUAAUUACGCAAAUAAAGCCUUAGUUAAUAAAGGCCAUUGAUUAAGGUAUUGAAUAUCAAAUCGCUUAAUCUGAUUUUCCGUUAAUUAAGCCCAUUAAUUAAGAUUAGCAAAAGAUGAAGAUGAAGAUGAAGAAUUUGAAGAAUAGAGUUGAGAUAAUUGUAUUUUGAUUAUGAAUUUGUAAUUAGAAGUGCAUAAAAGAAAAGCUUCAUAUACUGGUUUAUGUGGAUAAUUUAAAUCACAUUUGACUCGUUCCCUUGAAGCGAUAUUACUAUGUGUUGUUUUUGUAUAAUUUCUCCGUCGUUUUUCAUUUUAAUUAGCGUCGGAGUUUACUGGAGCAGCUAAAUUUACUUUAUAUUAGUAGAUCUAAUAUCUGCGUGUUUUCCACUUUCGAUCUUAAUAUAAUACUGCAUCAGUUUCAUUUUGAUA